CUCGCGCUCUGCCACACGCACGCAACUCUCCUUCGUGGACUGAACCCCUACGGGCUGUGGAACUUUGCGACGACACAGGCACACACAUACACAGGGCGCCACGCAUGGCCGUACCGCUCGCACACCCGAACGCGCGAAACCCGUUUCUGAUUUCUCUUUCUUCGGAUUGUAUACACACGCAUUCACUGACUGAUACUCAUCGUCUUCUCCCCUGAGCGUUGCCAUCGCGCUCUCGCGCGCGUAUUUCCACGCUGGUGGAUACAUCGUCUCAUUUCUCUUGUAUUUUUCAACCUCUCCUCGAAGGCUCUGUCCGGCAGGCGUCUGAGAGCACCUUGACGAGUUGCAUCGCUGUGGCUCUGCAUAACGCCGUGUGCAUAUAGGUUGCAGAGGGCCGGCGCUCAACGUACCCACAGCUGUCCUCUACCGGUGAAUUUCAUUUUGUUUUUACCUUUGAACCUUGAAACAAGGGUUUGAGCAGCUCUCACGUCAAGGAUGGAGUCGCAGCUGAAGCAGCUGCUUGUUCAGGGCGGGCUGGAGCACACGGUGCAGGGCUUCGUCGACGGCGGCGUCACCUCUGUCCAGCAGCUAAAGCAGCUCACCAUGCAGGACUAUCACUCCGUUGGCGUUAUCGUCAUGACGGACCGUCGGAAGCUCUUCGAGCUCAUCCAGUUUCUGAAGCGUGAUCGGGCGAACGGCAGCGGCGGCGGCAUGACACCUGCAGCACCGGUGGCGUCGACGGGCCCCAAGUCGCCGCCCCCGGCGACGGAGCCGGCGUCGCGCGUGCAGGCCGCCAUUCAGGCCCCCGCGUUGCCCGCCCGCAUCCCUACGCCGUUGCGCCGUGCGACCCCGACGGAAGCGAUGCAGCGACGCGAGCGGGAAAGGGUGGCCGAGCAGCCGCGGCCGAUGUCGGCGCAGCGCCGUGACCCCAACACAGACGACGGCGAAAACGCCGUCCGCCCUGCCGCUGCGCCGGCAAAGCCGGUUUCACGCCCGGUGAGCCGCGUUGGAGCGUCUUCCCCCUCACCAUUCGGCCGGCGCGCAACCGGUGAAGGCGGUAAUGCUCAGCGGCGUCGUGCCAGCCGAAUCACCGUGGUCAUUCGCAAGCGCCCCCUGAAUGCUAGCGAGCAAGCCGACGGCCUCUACGACAUUCUCGCCACGGACCCGGACAACAACCACAUCAUUACGCUGCUGGAGCCACGCCAAAAGGUAGAUCUCACCCGCUACAUCGAAAAGCACCGCUUCACCUACGACAAGGUUAUGGAUGACCGGAAGACCAACCGGGACGUAUAUGAGGAAGCCUGCAAGCCGUUGAUCGAGACGGUGUUCGAGGGCGGGUGCGCGACGUGCUUUGCUUACGGUCAGACGGGUAGCGGUAAGACAUACACCAUGCUAGGUAAGGACAAGCAGGAGGGCUUGUACCUGAUGGCGGCCAAGGACCUCUGGUCGCGGCUGAGUCGCGGCAUGGGCAUCAACGUCUCUUUCUUCGAGAUCUACGGCGGCAAGCUGUACGACUUGCUGAACGAGCGCGAGCGGUUGGCGUGUAGGGAGGAUAGCCGCGGCGUCAUUAACGUCUGCGGCCUGACCGAGCACCGCGUCGACAGCACCGACCACCUCAUGGAGAUCAUCGACUAUGGCAACACCAUCCGUGCGGCGGGAUCCACUGGCAUGAAUGCCGACUCCUCGCGCUCGCACGCCAUUCUGCACAUCACCAUUGUGAAUGAGAAGAACCGCUUCUUCGGCCGCUUCACUUUCAUCGAUCUUGCCGGCUCUGAGCGCGGCGCUGACACGCUGGAUAGCGACCGCACCACGCGGCUGGAGGGGGCGGAGAUCAAUAAGUCUCUAUUUGCCCUCAAGGAGUGCAUCCGCGCGCUAGACCAGAAUCACCGCCACAUUCCGUUUCGCGGGUCUAAGCUGACGGCGGUGCUUCGUGACUGCUUCAUGGGCAACAGCCGCACGGUGAUGAUCGGCAACAUCAGCCCCGCCAGCGGCAGCUGCGAGCACACACUCAACACGCUGCGCUACGCCGACCGUGUCAAGGAGCUCAAGAAGGACAAGUCCAGCCACAGCGCAGCGGAGGAGAUUAUGAUGGGGCAGAUGCCUACGGAGCACGUCGAAACCGUCGGCAUCUCCGGCUCCUUCGCGCAACGUCGGGCGAAGGAGCGUGUGAUCACGAGCUCGCGCUCCUCCAGCCAGACACGCACUCGCGAGCCCGGAACGCCAAACCAGAAGAUGGUCAACAGCUUUCAUCGACACGGAGACGAUAGCUCCGACAACACUCUUCGGUCCAACCGCAGCUUCGGCUCGCGCCCCGUCACCAGCAGCUCCCCGCAGAAGAAGUCCUACCACCGCCCGACCCCGACCCACAGCCGCGGCCCGAGUGGCAUGUCUUCGGCGAUGCCCACGCCUAUGGGUGAUGACUCACGGUACGACAGCGGCGACAGCCUCGACGCCGAGGAGGACAACCUGAUCCUGGCACACCGCCAUCACAUCGACUGCAUGAUGGAGCUCCUGAAAGAUGAGAUGACGCAACUGAACGCUGCCGAGAACCCGGAGAACUCGAUGAGUGGGUAUUGCAGGCGUGUCGACGCCAUUCUCUCCUCACAGGUGCGCCGCAUCGAGGAACUGCGCCGGCAGCUCGAUCAAUACACCCGCCAUGCUGGUGCCGCUGGUCGCCGCUGAUCAGGUCACCGGUGCGUUGUGAGUGGGGGACUUGAACAGUGCUAUGCACAAGGUCGGCGGGAUCACCGCGGCUGUCCAACCGGGUACGUGUCCUCGACAAUGUUUCCUUGUACUACUUCGGGCAUGAUCCGUGAUCAUGUACGUGGGACAUCUCUCCCAGCUCUCCCAACCUUUUUUUUCCUUCUUGGUGCGCUCGUCUUGUCAUGCACGCAGCGCAUCGCCACGUGCGCGUCUGCGGUGCGAGGGAGAGAAAGGACAAGCACCAAUGGGAAUGUGUGAGGGAGAGGGGUGCUCUAGUCUGUCGUCGCCCUACCUUCUUUUCCCCCUACGCACACAUACGCACGCCAUCUGAUGGUGCAGAUGGAGCGCCUUGCUGGCUGAGCGAUGCUGAGCGACGGCUCCUCCUGUUCUGUUUCUCUUAAUUUUGCCUCGAUGUGUGUCUUCUCUUUCGUAUGUUUGGUUCCCUUUGUGUCGUGUCACCCAUCUCUCUCUCUCGUUCUCUGACUCUCACUCUUGCCUCUCUCGCGAUGGCGGCUGGUGCAUGUCAGUGUUUUGUGUGUGUGUGUGUGUGCAUGGUGUAGACGUGACAGCGUGUGCGCGCGCUUUCGCCCUUUUCUGUGACGGCGCUACGCUCUCUCAAGUUCCUCCGCACCCCCUCCCCCUCCCCACUCACCAUGUUUCAUGGCCUCUCGUACCGCUGCAUCCCUUCCCCUACCACCCUUUCUUCCCGACUCUCUUCUGCCAGGCUUCAAUGUUUUACAACUUGUGUAUGUGUGUGUGUGUGUGUGGGCAGGCGGAUGGGUGCCUUCGUUUCCUUCUUUUUUUAUAUGUUACUCUUGUUGUUGGCAGCGCCGGUGCCGACUCGCCUACGUCUGAACGCCUCCCCUCCCCCCACCAGCUGGUUCUUUUUCUCGCCACCUCGCCGUCUCACACAUCCACCGCUGCCGUCGUCCGUCGGUCUUUUUUUCUUCUAUUGGCCCAUUGAUCUUCACUUUUAGCGUGGCUGUCCGUGAAAGUUUGAGGGGGGAGGCCCUUCGCGGACGUCUCUCGUUUACGUUCUCUCUCCCUCGCGUCUCACAACGGACCCACAGUGUGGCGGGCCCGAAGAUGUGUAGCACGCAUUCUGGUCACCCAGACACGGUGCGUGGAGGCAUACACGGUCACUCCGAAGCAUACAUCUUUUUUUUUUGUUCUUGUUUCACCGUUGUUGUUUUUUCCGUCUUAUUCAAACAUCGCUUUCUUGUACUAGAGUAUAACUGUACCUCAAGACUGCGAGAAGGGGGGGAUGUGCGACGGGGACUGUGAUGGAGGGAGGGGGCUUGUGUGCGUGUUUUUUUUUGCAUGGAGCAAGAAGGGGGAGGGAGUGUAGAGGGAGAUGAGCCUCCUGUGUGUGCGUCGGUCAAUGGGGCAAACAGAAAGCUGCUUAACGCCCUCACCUCGCCGUCCACCACCCAGCUUCCACACCCAUCCCCAUCACCUUCCCUUCAUUUUUUUUUCAGAGUAUGACACAUCGAAAAUGGUUUUGCUGGGUAUAUCUCUCUGUGAAUGUGCGUGUGUGUGUGUUUGUAUGAUGGGGUCCCGUUGAUAUCGUUACUCUGCCGCUUUUCUUGUUGUUCCCCCCCCCCUUCCCUCACUUGGUGUCUGACGUAACGCUCUUUUCUCUUUCGCUGUUUGGGUGUUCUUUUUCCUUUAGCGGACUCGUGUGUAUCUCUCCCCCUCUGCCUCCUCUGUCUUCCAUUUCUUCUGGGUUUGGUUCUUCGCUCACGUCACCACUGUUGGCGCGUUUCUUUGUCUAUUUGCUGAUUGUUGCUGCCCCCUCCCUUCUCCCCCGCCUUUCACCCUGUCUCGCUCCUCUCCGUGUUCUUGUGUGUCUGUCGUAUGUGGUUGCAUUGUUCGCGUUGUUGUUGCUGUUUUGCGUUGGCGUCUCUGUUCUCUGUCUCCUUUGUUGGGCUUCGGCCACCCGCGCGUAUCUUUCUGCCUUGAUGCUGUUUCCUCUCAUCCCUCCCCCAACCAAAAAAGAACGCAAGGAAAGCAGACAAACGCACACGCACACGCACACCUCCGCUAGGAAGCCGAAAGGCAUUGUCGUGCUUUGGACAAGCGCCCAGGACGGGCGCAUGGUGACUGAGAAGAAUAUGCAUGCGCACGGGUGGGGGGGGAGGGGAGCAGGGGUGCCGUGCGCACCGCACACGCGGUUGAGGUGCUCUGCCUCUGCUUUGGUGAGUUCUUUUCCUUCCUGCCGUCGAGUAGCGCUCCUGGUGCGGCACGUUGGCGCAUGGUGGCGGCUUACCCGUUGACACCUCUCCUCCGCUUCCCUCCACACACCAUAU
rnacentral:misc_RNA from 1 species